CUCUUCGUGUUUUGAUGUAUCUUCGUUUAUCAGGUUGGUACGGGCUCUUUAUCAAUGAUUGGAUGAAUCUGGACCAUCUGGUCCUCUAAUUGAUAUCACUAGCUCAAAUCGUCUUCAAGUUUCUGGCAUAUCUCGUCCUGAGAUAAAUUAAGACCAAACGAAAGAAGCAAACAAGAGAAUCAUCAAGUUUGCAUCAGGAUCAUAAGAACUAAUAGAAUUAGGCAAAACUUAUAAUAACCUUAACCAUAACAAGUUACCUUCCUCUACAUAUUUCCAAUACUCGUGUUCAUGCUCUACUUCACAAUCCUGAAAAAGAUUCAAAUGGAGAGACGAUGCAAAAUAGUAACAUAAUUCAUUAAAAAAAAUCAAUAUUACUCAAUUUUAGCUGAUCAUGAUCUUCUCUUGUUCUUUUUUUUCCCAAGCUUCUUCCCUGUUAGAAAAUACACAUUUGUUAGCUAAGUUCAAGAUCCAUACAUCUGCAUUCAU